UCUAAAUGCUGAGGAUUCAGCAGUGAACACAUCGGGCAAGAAUUCCUAUCUUUAUGCAGCUUACCGUCAGUUGAGGGAGGGGGCAACAGAUAAAUAUAUAAAUAUAUACAGGGUGUCAGAUGAGAAGUGCUAUGGUGACAAGUAGCUGGGAAGGGGGCAUGGGAAGUGACAGGUGGAGGUGGUCACAAUUUUAAAUGGAACAGUCAGGAUGGACUCACUGAGAGGACUACACCUGAGCAGGUUCAAGCCAAUGCAGAGGAGGUUUCCAAGCAGGGGAACAGCUUGAGCAAAGGCCCUGAGGCAGGAGUGCACCCCUCAUGUUCCAGGAACAGCAAGGAGGCCAGUGAACAAUGAACGAGGAGGUAUCUGGGACCAAGUGCCACAUACAUGGGGGCCUCAUUCACCACGUGUCACCACAGCCUGGAGUUCUAUCCCGCACAGAGCCAGCGCUCCAGUGAACUAAUUCAUGGAGGUCCCCAGGGAGAACUGCCUGCUCCCUCCUCAGAGUCCGCUACCUGUCUUCCAUCUGAGAUGUCCUCCCGGGUGCUGACAUCUGGCUCCUUCAGACCUCAGCUCCUGACCCUGGAUGUUCCCCAGGAGCCCAGCCCACCCUCAAGGGAGGGAGACGGGGUGUGCAGAUGCUCGGGGCACGGGUGUCCAUGUGGUCUUCGGCCAAGCUGUCAGGUUCCGCGCUACCCUUGCUCUGGUCCAGGUCUCUUCAGCCAGUAGUCAGGGCGGCAAUGUGUAAAGAAGAGGCUGGGCCAAGGGACAGUUGUACUGCCUUUAUUCCCCUUCACUCUUCUCCUCACCCUCCUGUUGUCCCCCACACGCUCUGGGGCUGUGGGGUGGCCACAUAGGGCCAGACAUCAAGGGUCCACAUGCCCGGGCACAGCCGUUCUGCCACCGAGCCCCCCUGAGGGGUGCCAUGUUGGCCGUGGUGGAACGCAUCAGGGUCGGAGGCUCAGGUUCUGCCCCCGGCCCGGGUUCCUAGGGCUCACCUCUCUGGCCACUCACCUCCAGCUGGCCCAAGACCAGGGAGUACAAGGGGAGCCGGGGAGGGGGCAGGCCCAGGUUCUGGGCUUGAGGUCUUGGCCAAUUGGGCUGAGAAGUCCAGCUGGACAGAGGGACGCCCUGGCAGAUCUCCAGUGGGAGGUGAUGAUCCCAAGCCCCCUCCCCACCACCAGCCCUGGGAAGUGGGUAUGGUGCCCAGUCCCCUCGCUCCAAUACCCAGGUGCUUGUUAAUUUAACAAUUAAAAAGGAAAUGUAAAAGCUGGUAAAACAAGAACCCCUAUCCAUACUGGCACUGCUGAGGUACCAUUAUUGCUUCAGACCCUUGUGGUCUGGCCAGAAAGGAGCUCCCACCAACACUGGCCCAAGGGGAAGAGAGCAUUUAGCACCGGGGACACAGGGUUCCUGUCCCCGCUGGGGUAGGGGCCUCCCAGGAGAGGGGUUGGCCGUGCCCACCUACAGCUACAAUGACCAUUUGACCAGUGCCCAGCCUGCUGUCUGGACCCCUCUUGUGCCCUGAGAGGGGAAGCGUACAAGGACAGGAGACCCAAGUCCUGGGACAGGGUCUUGCUACCAGCUCCCCACACCCAUCUCCAGCCUCUGCUUGUCAAAGUCUGGCCUCAUGGACCAGAGGCGCAGCCUGGCCAGGGCCCCCUAGGCUCACUAAGGCUGCAGGGAGGGCAGCAGGUGACAGGGCCACCAGCCCCUAUGGGAGACCCCAGCGUCAGCAACAGGGGGUGGGAAACUCAUUGGAGUCCCAGCCUACAGCCCAUUCGGGGAGAUCAGACUUUUCUUAGGAAAAUGUGGGCCAGCUCUGAAGCUGCCAGGCACUGGGACCAGAGGUUAGAAAUAGCAAAGGGAAGGGGGGAGCAGGGAGGGGAGGACCCUGAGGACGUCAUGGAAGCCCAGAGAUCAAGGGGUGCAGGAGAGGAAAAGAGCUACAGUAAAGCAGGAGCCUGAGAGGCGCAGCACUGACCCCAUAAGAGGCUGGAAUUCCCAGCCUUGGUGUGGGGGGAGCCUCAGUCCUGGGAGCCAGGCAGGGAGCUUUCCCCUCUCGGGGAGGGGACCACUUUUUCUCCCCAAAGGACAGCAGGGGCGUCUGAGGGUGCGUACGUAGACUCUGGCUUGCACUGUUCCUGCUACAGCCCCAAACUCAACCGGGCCAGGGCACUGCCCCCUCUAAGCCCAGAGAACCAUCUGGGCUGUGUGGCUUGGAUUCUAAAUCCUCAAAUCACUCGGGCUCCUUGGGCUUGCCCACAUCUGUACAUAAUAAAGUGCUUUGUUUAUUGAUGAUUAAAAUGUCCCCAGCCCCCUGCCCCAGUGCCAUGGGCCUUACAAGGAGGUCAGAGGGGUCCUGACCCCCUCAGCCCUUGGGCUGGUGGGGCCAGUCCCCCCAACCCGCCCCCUGGGCUCAGGCCUCUUCCCACUCCAGCCAUGCUGGGAAGGUGGUGAUGCGGGGGCAGUCGAGGGGUUUAAGGUGCAAAGAGUAUAACAGACAAAACUGUAUAAACACAAUAGGAAAGAGCUUAACUAGGAAACAGGUAGCUUAUGGAACCUUCCUCCCCAUUUCAAAGGCAGGAAUAGAGACGUUAAAUGACAACGAAAAAGGAUGUCCUAUUAGUGCUGGCCUCGUGAGGGCAAGCGUUGGGCACAGGCUGGGUGGGGCUCUCCCGGUACCCCCGACCCCGACCCCCAGGGCCUGAUCAUGCAGGCUCCUCGCCCCACCCAUGAGCAGAGGCGCAGGAGGGACGAGGCCGCUGGACACCAGCCAGGGGCAGGCUGUGGCCAGGCCCAGGGAGUGGCUGAGGCCUGUGCUGCCUUCCAGGAGCAGAGACAGACGCAGACACAGACAUCUCUAGCGUGGGAGAUUUGGCUGGGGCAGCUGCUGAGGGAUGGGCUGCUCCGUGAACAGCUGCCCUGCCCCCUGCCCCACUGAUAGCACCUUGAAACCUCAGAACAUCUGCCCGAGCCUGCUCCUUAGGGCCCCAGCCCCUGGGGUCCACCCAUGUGCAGGGGCUCCUGGGCUGCAGUACCUGGGGGCUGAUGCUGUGGGAGCCAGCCCGUCUGCCCACCCAGGGCCCGGCCCACCACACCCUGAGGCCCGGCAGCUCCUGGGGACAUCUUCCCCAGGACCCAGGGCCCUCGGUGCAGCCGGGAGCAGGUCGGGGAUGCCAUGGGGAAAGCAAAUGCCUGGGGUCCAGCCCCCGCCCGCCCCCCUCCCCACGGUGCGCAGCUGCAGUCGGUGCACCUCGCCACGCACGCCCACCCCACACAACCCCCCGGCGUCCGGGCCCAAGUCCCUGCCUCGGCAUCCGCAGCCCUCACGGUGGGCCCACAAGUCCUCCAAAGGGGGACGGCACCCCAACUUUUCCCCAAACCCUCCGGGAUGAGGGGCGAGUGAGGGGGCCCAGGAGGGGCGGGGAUGAGCAGCUGAAGGUGACCUGGGCUGGGCCUGGCCACGCCCCUCUGGCUGAGGCCUCGGCGGAGUGACCAGUCACACCUGCUCCCCAGGUCCCUCCCCACCCGUACCUGCUGCCUCCAGCGCCCCCCUCACCUGGAGGGGGAUGCUGUCAAGAGUUUCCUCUCUUGUCGUUUUCCUUCACUUCCAAAAAACAAACAAACA